GGACGGGUGAGUAACACGUGGGUAACCUGCCCUAAAGUGGGGGAUAACAUUUGGAAACAGAUGCUAAUACCGCAUAAAACCUAACACCGCAUGGUGUAGGGUUGAAAGAUGGUUUCGGCUAUCACUUUAGGAUGGACCCGCGGUGCAUUAGUUAGUUGGUGAGGUAAAGGCUCACCAAGACCGUGAUGCAUAGCCGACCUGAGAGGGUAAUCGGCCACACUGGGACUGAGACACGGCCCAGACUCCUACGGGAGGCAGCAGUAGGGAAUCUUCCACAAUGGACGAAAGUCUGAUGGAGCAACGCCGCGUGAGUGAAGAAGGUUUUCGGAUCGUAAAACUCUGUUGUUGGAGAAGAAUGUAUCUGAUAGUAACUGAUCAGGUAGUGACGGUAUCCAACCAGAAAGCCACGGCUAACUACGUGCCAGCAGCCGCGGUAAUACGUAGGUGGCAAGCGUUGUCCGG
rnacentral:rRNA from 1 species